UAUUAAUAAUGAUAUAUAUAUAAACAAAACACAAUAACUUUACAAAUGAAAAUUCUUUAUAUUUGUGACACUAGACUUCACAACUUUAAUAGUAAAGAGACAAAAUAUUUAUUUAAAUAUUGGUUUCACUCUUUACAAGAUUUAAUUAAUCAUAGUAGAUUAAGGAAUAUAAAACUUUGGCUAGUUUGCAUAAGUACGUAAAAAAAAAAAAAUAAAAUAAAAUAAAAUAAAAAAAAAAAAAAAUGUGGAUUAUGUGCCUAGCACGCAUACAAUUGUGCAUUAACAAAAAAAAUUUAAAUGUUGAAUUGAUCUAACUUAUUAAUGUUAAUGAAUAAGGUCUGAAUUUUCUACAUGUAUGUUUUUUUUUUUUUUUUUUUUUUUAUUACAUUUAUAUAUAUAUAGAUAUAUAUGUUACAUUUCAUAUAUUGCUAUCCUCGUUUUUGUUUUAUUUUUUUUCUUUGAUUCAGGUCUAAUAGAUUACGUAGACAUUUUAAACUUCACUGAUUUAUUUAAUUACAAAAAUGUAAAAAAUUGUAUCAAAAAAAUAAUGUCACAUUUUCAACACAACAUUAAUGAUGUACAUGAUAAAGGUAAAGUAGUGGAUCCUUUACUGGCAUUUUUAAAAAACGAUUAUUUAAAAAUUAAAGAAUGUGACAAAGUUGCAGUUUUAUCAAGUAACAUUUAUAUUUGGGCUGACAAAUUACAAGAAUUAAAAUUUAUUGGAGAUCGAUAUUGCUCAUGCUCUUGCAAAUUUGUUUUCUUUAAUGUCCAAAACAAACUGAACGAAAACAAAAAAAAAAUAGAACAACUUUGUUGCGAAUUAAAUGCAUAUAGUUGUUUUAUUUUUAAAAUCGUUGAGUUAAAUAAAAUUAACAUCUUACAAAUAUCAAAAGACAUUUUGGAUGUAAAGUUUGUUGUAUCAUUCAUUUUUAGUUUAAAAAAUGAGCUAUUACUCCAGUGUGAAGCAAGGCCCCUCAUUACUGAGUUGGAAAAUGAGACAUAUAUCGGGUUUAAUAAACUACUAAUUGAAUUUGACAUAAGAGCAAAAGCUUUAAAGGAAGCCAUAUCACAACACUUGAUUUAUGGGAUACCAAUUUUUUUAAGCAGCGAACCAUUUUCUGAACAUAAUUUAAUUUCUUUAAAUUCUCUUGCAAAAGAAUUAUACGAAAAUUUUCACUGUAAUAUAUGCAUAAAAAUAUACUAUAGGAACAUGUACUAAUACUGAGGUCUAACAUAAAUCCUAUUGAUUUAAAAAUGCAGUAAUAAUAAAAAUAAAAAAUAAAAAAUAAAAAACA
rnacentral:lncRNA from 1 species